UGGGGAAUUUUGGACAAUGGGGGCAACCCUGAUCCAGCAAUGCCGCGUGUGUGAAGAAGGCCUUCGGGUUGUAAAGCACUUUUGUCCGGGAAGAAAUCCCCUGCCCUAAUACGGCGGGGGGAUGACGGUACCGGAAGAAUAAGCACCGGCUAACUACGUGCCAGCAGCCGCGGUAAUACGUAGGGUGCGAGCGUUAAUCGGAAUUACUGGGCGUAAAGCGUGCGCAGGCGGUGAUGUAAGACCGAUGUGAAAUCCCCGGGCUCAACCUGGGAACUGCAUUGGUGACUGCAUUGCUCGAGUAUGGCAGAGGGGGGUGGAAUUCCACGUGUAGCAGUGAAAUGCGUAGAGAUGUGGAGGAACACCGAUGGCGAAGGCAGCCCCCUGGGCCAAUACUGACGCUCAUGCACGAAAGCGUGGGGAGCAAACAGG
rnacentral:rRNA from 2 species